AGAAAAAGCACACAAUCCAACUGAAGAGUGAAAGAUGCAGACUUCAGGACAUCAAAGCUUCAGUGAGAAACAUAAUAGUAUAGAUUUGAGGUCCCCUAGCUCCUGAGGAAACAAAAAUGAUUAAUGGAAUUACUGUGGUCUGUGAUCAGUGAAGAUGUCUAUUGAGAAAAAUAAUCAGGAUUGGCACCACAACAUCAGAAGUUAUGCUAUUACCAGGCUCAGGAGCCACAAGUGCAAGUUUGUUACCUGAGUAUAUCGUGUAAUGCUGAAGUUUG
rnacentral:lncRNA from 1 species